rnacentral:tRNA from 1 species
UCGGGUAUGGUGUAGCGGUAACAUCGCUGACUCUCAAAACUCUUGAGAGAUCCUCAGCAGCCCGGGGUUCGACUCCCCGUAUCCGAG